AUUGAACGCUGGCGGCAUGCCUUACACAUGCAAGUCGAACGGUAGAGUAGCAAUACUCGAGAGUGGCGAACGGGUGAGUAAUAUAUCGGAACGCGCCCAAUCGUGGGGGAUAACGUAGAGAAAUUUACGCUAAUACCGCAUACGAUCUAAGGAUGAAAGCGGGGGAUCGCAAGACCUCGCGCGAUUGGAGCGGCUGAUAU
rnacentral:rRNA from 1 species